CCUACGGGCGACAGCAGUGAGGAAUAUUGGUCAAUGGACGAGAGUCUGAACCAGCCAAGUAGCGUGAAGGAUGACUGCCCUAUGGGUUGUAAACUUCUUUUAUAAAGGAAUAAAACGAGGCACGUGUGCCUUUUUGCAUGUACUUUAUGAAUAAGGAUCGGCUAACUCCGUGCCAGCAGCCGCGGUAAUACGGAGGAUCCGAGCGUUAUCCGGAUUUAUUGGGUUUAAAGGGAGCGUAGAUGGGUUGUUAAGUCAGUUGUGAAAGUUUGCGGCUCAACCGUAAAAUUGCAAUUGAUACUGGCAGUCGUGAGUACAGUUGAGGUAGGCGGAAUUCGUGGUGUAGCGGUGAAAUGCUUAGAUAUCACGAAGAACCCCGAUUGCGAAGGCAGCUUACUAAACUGUGACUGACAUUGAUGCUCGAAAGUGUGGGUAUCAAACAGGAUUAGAUACCCGGGUAGUC
rnacentral:rRNA from 1 species